CUCUGGACUCUGAAUCCAGCGAUCCGAG
rnacentral:piRNA from 8 species